GUUAAAUAAUUACUUCUAUAAAUUCAAAGAGUAUAAUAUAAUUAAUUAUACAAGUCUAAUUCAAAAUCGUCUGAAUUGCUUUUUAAAUAUCUCAUAAUGGUAAUCGUCCGUCGCCUUCUCUCCGUUAUUUUUUUGUUUUCCUCGAAUGUUUUUUUCUUUGGCACUUAGUGCAUUUUUUCUUGUUACCAGAUUCCUGCUGCAACAUUUGGAAAUCUGACUGUUCUGUGUUGACUAAAAUUACAAUAAAUUUCAUAAUUUUAUAUCUAACAUGAAGAAGUUAAAUACAAUAAAUAUAAAAACAAACAAUGCGUAGUUAGUAAAUGUCAAUGUAUUAUAGUUAAAUUUUUGAUAACUUAGGAAUAUUAUAUUUAUAUGUAUCGAGGACAUUUAGUUGCUGCAAUUUUGAGAGACAUUACUUUGAUGCAAGACUCUUACAAUAGUUUACUGAUCUUCAAGAUAAAUUGUAUCAAAAUAUAGAAAGAAAACAUGGUCUGGUCUCUAUUGGCACUCAUGGAUUUGGAUACAAUUACAAAAAGGUCCAUUUUUAUAUGAUGCUAGACCACCAUCAAGAAUAUAGUUCAAACCACUUAAUCAAAAUAAAGUGUAUUCAGGGGAAGAAAUUAUGCAGUUAUAUGCAACACAUGUGCAACUUAAACAGUACUUAUACCUAUCAUAAAAGACAGUCCUGUUUAUCCUAUUAUAUAUGAUAGUAUGUGAUGGAGUUGUUUUACAUCUGUCUCUUAUUAUUAAUGGAAAUUAUUUAAAGAUCACACUUAAAACAAAAAAUUUAUCAAGUGCACAGCAAUUGAUCUUACAAAGGUACAUGCAUUUACAUUGUUUAAUUUUAAUCUAUACAUUUAUUUGCAAAAAUACAUGAAAUAGAUGCUUUAAAAGUAAGAUGCUAUAAUUAAUAUAAAAUAUAUACGUUAUAUAUUAUAAAUUAUUACAAAUUGUAAAUAACUUGUAGGCAAAGAUAGCGAUGGAUACUCUAGUUUGUGCAUUUAGUCAGUAUUGCAAGAUCAAGUAUGCAGUCGAAAUUGUAAAAGUGGUAUAUUCCGAUAAUUAAACUUUCUAUUAUCCAGAAUUAAAGUAUCAAACGGAAGAAAUCAGUUGCAAUAAAGCGAUUAAUUACAUUGGCAUUGAGUACGUGAUCACACCUUUUCCAUCAUGCACGUAGAAUAAUGAUUACGAGAUGACAGUUGCUGCUACCAACUAACAAGGGACCGAGAAAUCUUAAUCGCAGCACUUGCGGUUGCAAAGUAAUAACAUUUAAAAGGUGAAAUAAACUCUGCAAUUAUAUUCAGCCUUUUCAUAAUUGACGUAUGUUACAAUAUAUACUUAAUCUUGCUACUUAUUUUAAUGAUACAGCUAGAUCAGGCGAACAAGAAAAUAACAUAGGGUGAAAAGUCGCUUUCUUCAUCUGAUGGUAUCUCUUGAUAACAUAGUCGAUUAGCUUGUUUAAUCGCCGAUUUUGACAAGCAUGAAUUACUACGUGGUUCGUUACCAUGAAUCACUUGAAAGAGGAGAAAGAAAAAUAGAAUACUCGGUAUUAUAGGCCAUAUUAGUCUUGUUCUUCAUCGUUUUAAUUGAAAAUGUGACGAUUUUGUGCUGAAAAAAAUUACGUUAACAAUCUUAUGUAAUUUAAUAAAAUAAUAAAAAAGAAAUUAAACAAAAAA